UCUGAAUCUAAAUCAGACCGUAUUCAUGACAAAUGGGAUUGUUUGGUAUGUAUCAGAUUCAAAAAGAUGCACAUUCAAUUCCUAAUUCUAUGAUUUAUGA